GGCCCAGACUCCUACGGGAGGCAGCAGUGGGGGAUAUUGCACAAUGGGGGAAACCCUGAUGCAGCGACGCCGCGUGGGUGAAGAAGCGCCUCGGCGCGUAAAGCCCUGUCAGCAGGGAAGAAAAUGACGGUACCUGAAGAAGAAGCCCCGGCUAACUACGUGCCAGCAGCCGCGGUAAUACGUAGGGGGCGAGCGUUAUCCGGAUUCACUGGGUGUAAAGGGAGCGUAGACGGCCAAGCAAGCCAGGGGUGAAAGCCCGGGGCCCAACCCCGGGACUGCCCUUGGAACUGCUUGGCUGGAGUGCGGGAGGGGCAGGCGGAAUUCCUGGUGUAGCGGUGAAAUGCGUAGAUAUCAGGAGGAACACCAGUGGCGAAGGCGGCUUACUGGACUGUAACUGACGUUGAGGCUCGAAAGCGUGGGGAGCAAACAGGAUUAGAUACCCCAGUAC
rnacentral:rRNA from 1 species